rnacentral:lncRNA from 1 species
GCUCUGCUGAAGAAUCUCACCGUGACAGCAAACUCUAGCUGUAAUAAUGAGACCUGACACUUCUCAAACCCACUACAGGACCCCAAAUGGUCUCUACUUUGAAAUAUUCUUUCAGCUCAAGUAGAGGAAGAGCUUCAUUCAAAUAUUCAGCUUAUUUACCUAAAAUUGAGUUUUUUUACAUGGGUUCUUUGUUUUGGGAGAAGUGAUGCAAAAUCAGCAUAAACAUUUGUAAUCUAUGGGCUUUAGCUACUCUCUUUCAUUAUAAAUGAUACCCACUGUCUUUCUCCCUGUUGCUUGAAAUGCUAACCUAGCUGUUCUCCAGACAGAGGCCAUGGGGCCCACCAGGAAGUAAGUCAUCAGCAAACUCCCUGGAAGCCUGGAGCAGUGUGCCAUUUGUUCAUUUAACAUGCAUAAAAGUAUUGCCUAUUUCCCGAGACUCAGAAUACCUCACUGGCACUUUUAUGAU